UACGGAGGGGCGAGCGUUGUCCGAAGUUGACUAGGGCGUAAAGCGCGCCGUAGGCGGGUUGGUAAGUCCCGCUGUGAAAGCCCGGAGCUCAACUCCGGAGGGUCGGUGGAUACUGCCAGUCUUGAAGGUGCUAGGGGGAGAUGGAAUUACCGGUGUAGCGGUGAAAUGCGUAGAUAUCGGUAGGAACACCAGUGGCGAAGGCGGUCUCUGGGCAGUAACUGACGCUGAGGAGCGAAAGCGUGGGGAGCGAACAGG
rnacentral:rRNA from 1 species